AUUGAACGCUGGCGGCAGGCCUAACACAUGCAAGUCGAACGAGUGGCGGACGGGUGAGUAAUGUCUGGGAAACUGCCUGAUGGAGGGGGAUAACUACUGGAAACGGUGGCUAAUACCGCAUACUAUCAGAUCUGCCCAGAUGGGAUUAGCUGGUUGGUGGGGUAACGGGUCACCAAGGCGACGAUCCCUAGCUGGUCUGAGAGGAUGACCAGCCACACGGGAACUGAGACAGGGCCCAGACUCCUACGGGAGGCAGCAGUGGGGAAUUUUGCACAAUGGGGGCAAGCCUGAUGCAGCCAUGCCGCGUGUAUGAAGAAGGCCUUCGGGUUGUAAAGUACUUUGAGCAGGGAAGCGUUACCUGCAGAAGAAGCACCGGCUAACUCCGUGCCAGCAGCCGCGGUAAUAC
rnacentral:rRNA from 1 species